rnacentral:rRNA from 1 species
CAGCCGCCGCGGGAAUACGAAGGGGGCUAGCGUUGCUCGGAAUGACUGGGCGUAAAGGGCGCGUAGGCGGCGAUCAAAGUCAGGUGUGAAAUUCCUGGGCUCAACCUGGGGGCUGCGCUUGAUACUUGGUUGCUUGAGUGGGGAAGAGGGUCGUGGAAUUCCCAGUGUAGAGGUGAAAUUCGUAGAUAUUGGGAAGAACACCGGUGGCGAAGGCGGCGACCUGGUCCUUGACUGACGCUGAGGCGCGAAAGCGUGGGGAGCAAACAGGAUUAGAUACCCCGGUAGUCCCUGUCUCUUAUAC